rnacentral:rRNA from 1 species
AGAGUUUGAUCCUGGCUCAGGAUGAACGCUAGCGGCAGGCUUAACACAUGCAAGUCGAGGGGCAGCGGGGAGGAAGCUUGCUUUCUCCGCCGGCGACCGGCGCACGGGUGAGUAACACGUAUGCAACCUGCCCCUGUCAGGGGGACAACCCGCCGAAAGGCGGGCUAAACCCGCGUACAUGCCACCGGGGCAUCCCGGAGGCAGGAAAGGCUUCGGCCGGACAGGGAUGGGCAUGCGGCGCAUUAGGCAGUAGGCGGGGUAACGGCCCACCUAACCGACGAUGCGUAGGGGUUCUGAGAGGAAGGUCCCCCACACUGGUACUGAGACACGGACCAGACUCCUACGGGAGGCAGCAGUGAGGAAUAUUGGUCAAUGGUCGGGAGACUGAACCAGCCAAGCCGCGUGAGGGAGGAAGGUACAGAGUAUCGUAAACCUCUUUUGUCAGGGAACAAAGGCGGGGACGUGUCCCCGGAUGAGUGUACCUGAAGAAAAAGCAUCGGCUAACUCCGUGCCAGCAGCCGCGGUAAUACGGAGGAUGCGAGCGUUAUCCGGAUUUAUUGGGUUUAAAGGGUGCGCAGGCGGUCUGUUAAGUCAGCGGUCAAAGCCCGGGGCUCAACCCCGGCCCGCCGUUGAAACUGGCAGUCUCGAGUUGGAGAGAAGUAUGCGGAAUGCGCGGUGUAGCGGUGAAAUGCAUAGAUAUCGCGCAGAACUCCGAUUGCGAAGGCAGCAUGCCGGCUCCACACUGACGCUGAGGCACGAAAGCGUGGGUAUCGAACAGGAUUAGAUACCCUGUAGCCCACGCAGUAAACGAUGAAUGCUGGCUGUCCGGGGGGACUGACCCCUGGGUGGCGAAGCGAAAGCGAUAAGCAUUCCACCUGGGGAGUACGCCGGCAACGGUGAAACUCAAAGGAAUUGACGGGGGCCCGCACAAGCGGAGGAACAUGUGGUUUAAUUCGAUGAUACGCGAGGAACCUUACCCGGGCUCAAACGGGGAGUGGCGCAGGCAGAGACGCCUGUUUCCCACGGGACACUCCCCGAGGUGCUGCAUGGUUGUCGUCAGCUCGUGCCGUGAGGUGUCGGCUUAAGUGCCAUAACGAGCGCAACCCCCGCGUGCAGUUGCUAACAGUCAACGCUGAGGACUCUGCACGGACUGCCGGCGCAAGCCGCGAGGAAGGCGGGGAUGACGUCAAAUCAGCACGGCCCUUACGUCCGGGGCGACACACGUGUUACAAUGGGUGGUACAGCGGGAAGCCAGGCGGCGACGCCGAGCGGAACCCGAAAUCCACUCUCAGUUCGGAUCGGAGUCUGCAACCCGACUCCGUGAAGCUGGAUUCGCUAGUAAUCGCGCAUCAGCCAUGGCGCGGUGAAUACGUUCCCGGGCCUUGCACUCACCGCCCGUCAAG